rnacentral:rRNA from 1 species
GACGAACGCUGGCGGCGUGCUUAACACAUGCAAGUCGAACGGUAAGGCCCUUCGGGGUACACGAGUGGCGAACGGGUGAGUAACACGUGGGUGAUCUGCCCUGCACUUCGGGAUAAGCCUGGGAAACUGGGACUAAUACCGGAUAGGACCACUGCCUGCAUGGGUGGUGGUGGAAAGCUUUUGCGGUGUGGGAUGGGCCCGCGGCCUAUCAGCUUGUUGGUGGGGUGAUGGCCUACCAAGGCGACGACGGGUAGCUGGCCUGAGAGGGUGACCGGCCACACUGGGACUGAGAUACGGCCCAGACUCCUACGAGAGGCAGCAGUGGGGAAUAUUGCACAAUGGGCGCAAGCCUGAUGCAGCGACGCCGCGUGGGGGAUGACGGCCUUCGGGUUGUAAACCUCUUUCAGCACCGACGAAGCGCAAGUGACGGUAGGUGCAGAAGAAGGACCGGCCAACUACGUGCCAGCAGCCGCCGUAA